rnacentral:rRNA from 1 species
AUAAAUUUAAUAUAACUAUUAAUAGAAUUAGGUUACUAAUAAAUUAAUAACAAUUAAUUUUAAAACCUAAAGGUAAACCUUUAUAUUAAUAAUGUUAUUUUUUAUUAUUUUUAUAAUAAGAAUAAUUAUUAAUAAUAAUAAACUAAGUGAACUGAAACAUCUAAGUAACUUAAGGAUAAGAAAUCAACAGAGAUAUUAUGAGUAUUGGUGAGAGAAAAUAAUAAAGGUCUAAUAAGUAUUAUGUGAAAAAAAUGUAAGAAAAUAGGAUAACAAAUUCUAAGACUAAAUACUAUUAAUAAGUAUAGUAAGUACCGUAAGGGAAAGUAUGAAAAUGAUUAUUUUAUAAGCAAUCAUGAAUAUAUUAUAUUAUAUUAAUGAUGUACCUUUUGUAUAAUGGGUCAGCAAGUAAUUAAUAUUAGUAAAACAAUAAGUUAUAAAUAAAUAGAAUAAUAUAUAUAUAUAAAAAAAUAUAUUAAAAUAUUUAAUUAAUAUUAAUUGACCCGAAAGCAAACGAUCUAACUAUGAUAAGAUGGAUAAACGAUCGAACAGGUUGAUGUUGCAAUAUCAUCUGAUUAAUUGUGGUUAGUAGUGAAAGACAAAUCUGGUUUGCAGAUAGCUGGUUUUCUAUGAAAUAUAUGUAAGUAUAGCCUUUAUAAAUAAUAAUUAUUAUAUAAUAUUAUAUUAAUAUUAUAUAAAGAAUGGUACAGCAAUUAAUAUAUAUUAGGGAACUAUUAAAGUUUUAUUAAUAAUAUUAAAUCUCGAAAUAUUUAAUUAUAUAUAAUAAAGAGUCAGAUUAUGUGCGAUAAGGUAAAUAAUCUAAAGGGAAACAGCCCAGAUUAAGAUAUAAAGUUCCUAAUAAAUAAUAAGUGAAAUAAAUAUUAAAAUAUUAUAAUAUAAUCAGUUAAUGGGUUUGACAAUAACCAUUUUUUAAUGAACAUGUAACAAUGCACUGAUUUAUAAUAAAUAAAAAAAAAUAAUAUUUAAAAUCAAAUAUAUAUAUAUUUGUUAAUAGAUAAUAUACGGAUCUUAAUAAUAAGAAUUAUUUAAUUCCUAAUAUGGAAUAUUAUAUUUUUAUAAUAAAAAUAUAAAUACUGAAUAUCUAAAUAUUAUUAUUACUUUUUUUUUAAUAAUAAUAAUAUGGUAAUAGAACAUUUAAUGAUAAUAUAUAUUAGUUAUUAAUUAAUAUAUGUAUUAAUUAAAUAGAGAAUGCUGACAUGAGUAACGAAAAAAAGGUAUAAACCUUUUCACCUAAAACAUAAGGUUUAACUAUAAAAGUACGGCCCCUAAUUAAAUUAAUAAGAAUAUAAAUAUAUUUAAGAUGGGAUAAUCUAUAUUAAUAAAAAUUUAUCUUAAAAUAUAUAUAUUAUUAAUAAUUAUAUUAAUUAAUUAAUAAUAUAUAUAAUUAUAUUAUAUAUUAUAUAUUUUUUAUAUAAUAUAAACUAAUAAAGAUCAGGAAAUAAUUAAUGUAUACCGUAAUGUAGACCGACUCAGGUAUGUAAGUAGAGAAUAUGAAGGUGAAUUAGAUAAUUAAAGGGAAGGAACUCGGCAAAGAUAGCUCAUAAGUUAGUCAAUAAAGAGUAAUAAGAACAAAGUUGUACAACUGUUUACUAAAAACACCGCACUUUGCAGAAACGAUAAGUUUAAGUAUAAGGUGUGAACUCUGCUCCAUGCUUAAUAUAUAAAUAAAAUUAUUUAACGAUAAUUUAAUUAAAUUUAGGUAAAUAGCAGCCUUAUUAUGAGGGUUAUAAUGUAGCGAAAUUCCUUGGCCUAUAAUUGAGGUCCCGCAUGAAUGACGUAAUGAUACAACAACUGUCUCCCCUUUAAGCUAAGUGAAAUUGAAAUCGUAGUGAAGAUGCUAUGUACCUUCAGCAAGACGGAAAGACCCUAUGCAGCUUUACUGUAAUUAGAUAGAUCGAAUUAUUGUUUAUUAUAUUCAGCAUAUUAAGUAAUCCUAUUAUUAGGUAAUCGUUUAGAUAUUAAUGAGAUACUUAUUAUAAUAUAAUGAUAAUUCUAAUCUUAUAAAUAAUUAUUAUUAUUAUUAUUAAUAAUAAUAAUAUGCUUUCAAGCAUAGUGAUAAAACAUAUUUAUAUGAUAAUCACUUUACUUAAUAGAUAUAAUUCUUAAGUAAUAUAUAAUAUAUAUUUUAUAUAUAUUAUAUAUAAUAUAAGAGACAAUCUCUAAUUGGUAGUUUUGAUGGGGCGUCAUUAUCAGCAAAAGUAUCUGAAUAAGUCCAUAAAUAAAUAUAUAAAAUUAUUGAAUAAAAAAAAAAUAAUAUAUAUUAUAUAUAUUAAUUAUAAAUUGAAAUAUGUUUAUAUAAAUUUAUAUUUAUUGAAUAUAUUUUAGUAAUAGAUAAAAAUAUGUACAGUAAAAUUGUAAGGAAAACAAUAAUAACUUUCUCCUCUCUCGGUGGGGGUUCACACCUAUUUUUAAUAGGUGUGAACCCCUCUUCGGGGUUCCGGUUCCCUUUCGGGUCCCGGAACUUAAAUAAAAAUGGAAAGAAUUAAAUUAAUAUAAUGGUAUAACUGUGCGAUAAUUGUAACACAAACGAGUGAAACAAGUACGUAAGUAUGGCAUAAUGAACAAAUAACACUGAUUGUAAAGGUUAUUGAUAACGAAUAAAAGUUACGCUAGGGAUAAUUUACCCCCUUGUCCCAUUAUAUUGAAAAAUAUAAUU